UCAGGAGAUGUGGUGCAAUGUACAUCAAGUACAUUGUGAAAUUUAGAUAAUGCUCUGAUUUUUUUUUGUGUGAUGAAUGUAUCACUAACAAUUGACAGUUGCAAAAAAUCAUAAUUUUCUAACAACUAUUUCAUAUUAGUAACAUUAUUAUUUUUCGUGUUUCUUGCAUUAUUAUUUUUCGUGUUUCUUGCAUUAUUAUUUUCAGUGUUUUUGCAUUAUUAUUUUUAGUGUUUCUGAAAUUAUUAUUUUCAGUGUUUUUGCAUUAUUAUUUUCAGUGUUUCUGAAAUUAUUAUUUUCAGUGUUUCUUGCAUUAUUAUUUUUAGUGUUUUUGCAUUAUUAUUUUCAGUGUUUCUUGAAUUAUUAUUUUCAGUGCUUUUGCAUUAUUAUUUUCAGUGUACCAAUCAACGAUUCUUGUGGGUCCUUUCUGUACGAAAAUUAAUGUAACUAAAGAAAACUCGAAUGGAUCUUGGAAAUAACAUAUAUAUAUAUAAUUACUCCCACAUACGUUUCACACAAAGUUGGGAGAAUGUAGAAUGUAGUAUAUGGGUAGUAUGUAGUAUGUAGAACAUAGAAUAUAUUCUACUUUUUAGAUAGAAUAUGCAGUUUUUUAACACACUCUAUUAUAUAUACAAAUAUGAAGAUAUUUCUAAAACACAGUAAAAACUACGUG
rnacentral:lncRNA from 1 species